UUUUGUACCAAAAAAAAUAUAAAAACCAACGCACUUCAAGCAAAAAUGCUUCGAGUGACAGCUGCCAAAUAAAGUACUAUUUUCUAUGAAAAAAUUUUCUAGACUUUUUACAAUGCCAAAAUGUGUUCGAUACACUGUUCCAUUUCGGGACUCUAUUCAGAGUACCACUCAUGCUUUAAGUGCGUUGGAAAAACGUAUA